CUCGCCCUCUUCGCCUACCCUCAUCACGGACCGAAGCCGUCUCACCUUAUUUCUGUGAUCCUCCGUAAAGUCCGACAUCCACAUCGAUUAGCCCAUUAAGUUCUGUUAUUUACUUCAUCAACCAAUAGCUAUGCAACUCAAGCGACUCCCCUUCCUUGCGCCUCUCAUAUAACCUAUAUUCUGGCUCUCUCCAAAUUCACCAUCCCUAAGUAAUGAAAGUGGCCAAAUGGCUACCAAGGCAGUGAAACCUGAUACAGUUAUGAGGCCUCAUAUGGUGUUAAUCUCUUGCUCCAUUCACCACCCAGUCACCCAUAGUUUCUGUGAGAAAACAAACAGAAGAGAUUAAAGAGGAAGUUAUUUAUCCCCUGUUCAUGCGCUUUCACUUAUAGCAGCUGGAGAAGAGCAACGCCAUGUAGGAUCAACAAAUUUUAAUUUGCUCAGCAG